UCCCUUUAGCUCUUGAAGUUUUGGGCUCCUUUUUGUGCGGUAGAGAUGCGACUCAAUGGAGAAGUGCGAUUGAAAGACUUAAAAGAGAUUCUGAUAAAGAAAUUCUCAAUAAACUUCGAAUCAGUUUUGAUGGACUGGAAGAAAGGGAGAAGGAUAUAUUUUUAGAUAUAGCAUGCUUCUUCAAUGGGGAGAGGAAAGAUUUUGUAAUAAAAGUAUUAGAUGGUUGUGAGUUUUUUCCUGAUAUCGGAAUUGAUGUUCUCAUUAAAAAAUCUCUCGUAAAAGUCGAUAAAUACAACAGAUAUUUGAAGAUGCAUGAAUUGUUGCAAGAAAUGGGAAGAACAAUUGUUAAAGAAAAAUGUGUUGAUGAACCUGGAAAACGUUGCAGAUUGUGGGAGGAAAGGGACGUCCAUCAUGUCCUAACAAAAUACACUGUAAGUCAUUCAAUAAAAGUUACAUACUAUUUCUUUUUUAUCCUACAUUAUUCACCAUUUAUUUUAUUUUCUUAUUGUCUGUUGUUGAUCUUUUUUAGGCUACAGAAAUGAUUAAAGGCAUAAUAUCGAUAAUAAAAGGUAAGAAGAUACACAUAAACUUAUAUCUAUGUGUACUGUAAAUAAUUAUUAUUUUUAAAUAUGAUAAAAAAAAUAUAGCAAAACUUUUGACAUUCAAUAUUUCAAUGUUUAAUUAUGAAAUUUAUCUAGCAACAUAUUUACUCUUUCAAAAGAAUCAAAAGAGAAAUGUAUGUAUUUUUGAAAUAUUAAUGGUAUAUUUUUUUGUGAAAAUUAAUGGUAUAUAUUUAAUGUACUAAAAGUGUAUAUCAACGAAUUAGAUUAUAACAUGUCAUCGAAAUUUUUUUAAUGAAAAUAGUUUCAUUUUUAAUUAUGUGUCAUUGUUUGGUUCAUUAACUUGUAAAUUAUGCUUUGUUUGCGGACCGAAUAUAAAUCAACAUAUUAAUUCAAUUUUUUAGGAUUAGGUAAUUUAACAUCGGAUGGGAUUAUUAGAUAUAAGUAUCUCUUUAAUAUGGCUAUGUUAAAAAAAUAUAUUUAAAAAUUGUUUUUAUUCACAUAUUUAAAAGGUUCUUAAAGGAUCAUAUCUUAAUACCCAUAUACGAAUAUGCAUUAGAUAUAAGUAUUGGAUACGAGUACUUAAAAAACAAUAUUGAUGUAACAUUUCUUUUAGAUAUUGAAUGUUUUUGUAUAUUUUGAAGCUCAUUUUUGUUUUGCUCAUGGAUAUUAGGGAAUCGAACAAGAUACUCAAUUUGAGUGUGGAUACCUUCUUGAAGAUGAAAAAAUUGAGAUUGCUUAAAGUGCUUUGCCUUUCAAAUUGUGAUGAUGAUCUCAAAUAUCUUUCUAAUGACCUACGACUUUUAGAUUGGACAGGAUACCCUUUAAGAAACUUGCCUUCAAGCUUUCAACCGGAUAACCUUGUCGCACUUCUUUUACCAUAUAGUCACAUUCAACAACUAUGGAAGGGAAAUAGAGUAAGAAUUAACUCAUCUUAUCCUUGUGUUUUAGCUUAUUUUAAUAUAAAUUAUUAAACUUUGAUUAAGGUAAAACAAAAAAACAAAAAUGAGCAUUAUUAUGUUUUCUCAUUUGUUUCUAAUUUAUUAUGGUCUUCAACAGCCCUUGUUUAACUUGAAAAUAAUGAACCUCAGAGGGUCUCAAAACCUGAUCAAGACACCAGACUUCACAACAGCAUCAAAUCUUGAGGUUUUGAUUUUGGAAGGUUGUACCAAAUUAGUGGAUGUUCAUCCAUCAAUCGGGGUGCUUAGGAGCCUUAAACUUUUGAAUUUAAGAGAUUGCAAAAGUCUUAGGACUCUUCCAACCAAAACUGGAAUGGAAUCUCUUGAAACAUUAAUUCUUUCGGGUUGCUCAAAUCUUGUAAGGUUUCCGGAUGUUGAAGGGAAAAUGGAACGCCUAAAAACUCUAGAUCUUUCCGGUUGUUAUAGAGUGGAAAAUUUAUCGGAGAAUUUGCAGCAAGCAAAGUUUUUGGAAGAGCUCGACUUGAGUGAAACAGCCAUAACAGAACCACCAUCCUUCAUUUUUCAAUUUAAAAAUCUUAAAGUUCUGUCUUUCAAUGGGCGCAAGGGACCAUCAUAUAAGUUACUACCAAAUUUGCCUUCUCUUGUCAAGGUAAUCCAAGGAAGAAGGACGAAUCCCAUGGCUCGGAUGUUGCCUUUGUUGUCAGGUUUGAGUUCAUUAAGAGAGUUGAAUCUAAGGGACUGCAAUCUUUGUGAAGGAGAUAUUCCACCUGAUAUUUCUGGUCUAUCCUGUUUGGAAGAACUUGAACUUAGCGGUAACAAUUUCAUCAGCAUACCUGCAUCUCUUACUCGACUCUCCAAGCUUAAAGAGCUUAUAUUGUCAAAUUGCAACAUGUGCACUCUUGGUGAAGCAGAUAUUCGUAGUGAUCUUUCUGGUCUAUACUCUUUGCUACGUCUUGAUCUUAGUGGUAAGAAUUUCAUCACCCUUCCUUUGGCUCUUACUCAACUUUCCAGGCUCAAAUUGCUUAAAUUGUCAGGUUGCAAGAUGCUUAAAUCAUUGCCUGAGCUACCAACAAGUAUAAGAUAUAUGAUAAUAGAUGAUUGUUCUUCACUUGAAGUAGUUGCAAGUCCAUCAAAAGUAUGCAAUUUAGCGGGUGGUGAUGAAAUUAGUGCCAUUAACUGCUUCAAAUUGGCUGAGAAAAUCAAUGCAUUAACACUGCUGAAAGAACAUAUUAAGGUCAAUUAAUCUAUUUUUUCUCCCUUAGAAAAUCUCAUACUUGAGAAUUUAUGGUUUUAGUUACCAAACGACUUGUGUUUAAUUUUGCAGGCGGUUCGAUAUCCAAGAGAUUGUUUUCAUAGUAGCAUCGUUGAUAUUAUGAUGCCCGGAAGUGAAAUCCCAGAAUGGUUUAGCCAACAAAAAAGUGACUCUUCAAUUAAGAUACCCCUACCUAUCAACCUUCGGAAAGAUAGUCAAUGGAUUGGAGUUGCUUGUUGCUGCAUUUUUGUCGAUAAUGGUGCUUCAAGGAAUAAGAUGCUUUACUGUGAUGGAUCUAUUUUUCGAGGUAGAAAUUGUCGACGAAUUUUUUGGAGCCUCGGGUGGGUAGGUCGAAGCUUUCACAAGCUCAUAAUGAAAGAUCACCUUUUUCUUCGUUAUUUUCUGCGUGAUGAAUUAUAUCCAAUUUCCUUGGAGGAUAAAUAUGGUGACUGUGAAACCAAUAAUUUAUGGACAGCAGAUUGCUUAGAUCAAACAGGCGAUAAGCUUCAGUUGUGUUUCAAUUCCAAAUUUGAACCAAAUGACCGUUGUGUUAAGGUGAAGAAGUGUGGUGUUAGAAUAGUGUAUGAGAAAGAUUUGGAAGAAAUGAAAGAGUUGCAGUGCCAUACCACUCAAUCUUCUCCAAAUUUUGAACACAUCCACCAACACUCUGCUCAAAACCAUGGAUCAGUAGGUAGCACUUCUCACAUGAAACGAAAAAUCAAGAGAGAAGCAUUAACUGUGGUAAACUACUUAACCAACUUUGUCCUAUUAAUUUUUUUUUUACACAUCUUGUAUUUCAUUUGAACAAUUAUUCUAGACUUGUUUUGCAUAUGCGAUAUGAUCCUUCCAUUAUAUGCCAAAACAUUUUAAAAUUUUAGCUACUUAUUUUUAUUGGAGAUCAACUUAUGUAUUCAAUUUAAUCAAUCAAAACUGUUUUUAUAUAUUUAGAAGAUUAAUUAUAAAUAGUUAAUAGUACUUAAAUAGAUUUAAUUCCUUCUAAUAAAGUAUCAUUUAAAUUUGAUGGCUUGAAGUACAAAUAACAUUAUUCCAACUCUUCAGUUUAUAUUUUUUUAGACAUCUAUGUAAACUUAUUUGCUUAUGAGAUAUAAUCCUUCUUAUAUAUAAAAAAUUUUUAAAUUUUUUAUUUAUACACAUAUUCAACAUGAGCUCAUAUUCUAUGCAUAUCCUAAAUGUUGAUAACAUAGUAUUUUUAGACCAUUUAAAAUUCUUCUUUAUGUUUAUGAUUUUUCUAUUUUUAAAAAAUUUAUGUAUUUUAAUAUUAUAUAAUUUUUUAAAUUAUGAUUGACUUUUUUUGGGUAAACUACAAAUAUAGUCACUUUUGUUUCACUCAGAUUACAUUUUAGUCACUUAUGUUUGAAAUGUUAUGUUUUAGUCACUUGCGUAUCGUUUUGUUACAAAGUGGUCACUCUACCAUUAAGCUUUGUUACCUCCCUAACGGCAAUCCUACGUGGCAGUCCAAAUGGGUUUUAAAUGCCAACUUGGAUGUCUAAUUGGUACAACAAUAGGUUUUUAAUUAAAUAAAUUUAAUUAAUUAAAAAUUUUAAAUUAAUUACAUGUUGAACUGGAAAAGAAAAAUCAUUCAUCUCUUUUUUCUUUUUAGUUUUCCUUUUCAUUUUAACUGAAAAAAUUAUUCUCAUCCUAGUUGGAAAUCCAAGUUGUCAUUUGAAACCCAUUUGGAUUGCCACGUAGGAUUGUCACUAGGGAGAUAACGGAACUUAACUGAAGAGUUCGUAACAAAACGAUAAUGUAAGUGGCUAAAACGUAGCAUUUCAAACAUAAAUGACUAAAAUAUAAUUUGCGGCAAAUAAAAGUGACUAUUUUUAUAGUUUACUUUUUUUUGAAUUUUAGAGUUUAGGUUCAUUUGUGAACUCUUUCUUGGAAUCUUCGUGGAGAGAACAUUUAUCAUCCCCCAAUUUCCACACCUACGAGCUUGAGGGCAAUGAGGUUGUUGUUUUGGGAGGUUCAAAGGUGAGGGGGAGCUGUUUGGGAUGGCGGUCGGUAAUGGAAGAUGAGAGUGAUGAAGCCCGGGUGUAUUGGUGAUGUUGGUGGUGAAGAUGGGAGCCUCGAGUGAUAGAGAGAGAAUGGUGAAAAGGCCCCUGGGUUAGCUCAGAGAUGAAAUUUGCUGCUAUUGUUGCCUCCAAACACAGAAUUGCUAACCUACCCGGCUUGAAUUUUGUAGAUUGAUUUUAUUAACAGAAAUCAGUGGAGCAUGUUGUGUGUGCUUGCAGUGCAACAAAAGGAAUUGGCAUUUUGUGCUGCGGAAGAUACCUGUAGGUGCUGAGGUAGGUGUACUGGUGCAGAAGGGUGGCCAUUGACUGGCUACCACCUGUCCCAAGAUAUUAGGAACACAUUAGGAUCUGUUUGUAAAGUUAAUAAAAAUUUGGGGACUUUUACUCAAAAUUUUAACUUUUGAAUUAUUACUUACAAUUAUUGUAGGCUCCACUUUGUGGACUCUUUCUUGGAUUCUUCAUGGAGACAACAUCUGUCAUCCCCCAAUUUCCACACGUGCCUGCUUUCAUUUGGAAACAAAGGAAAUGUAUAGAAAAAUUGCUUAGGGAAAUUGGAUCUAGUUCUCUCCUUCAUGCUCAUAUACUAUACUAUAUUGAAAAUAUAUUAAAGAGAUUUGACAAGGAUUGUACAUUAGGUGAUGCUUAUAUCAUUAAAAGGGACAAGUUUAAUGCUCAUCAAUGCCUCAAAAUUGGUUUUAAGAUUAAGGAAAUGGAAAAAAUCACUAUGCUUAUUACUUAAUAAUAAUUGGUUUUAUAUGUGUAAAAAUAUUGCAUAUAUAACCCCGAAUUUCCACACCACUCCCUUUCAUUUUGUCUACUCUCACCUUCUUGGAGUCUUUCCGGAAACAUCUAUAACCCCGAAUUUCCACACCUAGUCCCUUUCAUUUCGAAAAGUAAUGUUUUUAAUUAUUAUCUUUCAUUGUUAAGUUCAUAAAAUACAAACCGUCCAACAUUUUUAACUCUCACCUUCAUGAAAAGAACAUAUCACCCGGCCCUCUUCUAUUUUUCAUAUGUUUUUCCUCAUAUAUUCAUUAUUUUCUGAUUUUGAACACCAGAUUGAAAUAUCUUCUCCUUUCAUACAUCCUCAUGUUGUCGUUACCUUCAACUUCUUCCUCCAUUUCUAGAAAAAAAUACGAUGUUUUCUUGAGUUUCAGAGGUGAAGAUACCCGCAGCAACUUUACCGAUCAUCUCUAUGAUGCUCUAAGUAGGAGUGGGAUCGUCACUUUCAGAGAUGAUCCAAAGCUGGAGGCCGGCGAAGAGAUCGCACCUGAACUCUUUAAAGCAAUUCAGCAAUCAUGGUGCUCGGUAAUCGUUUUUUCACAAACUUAUGCCUUUUCAAGUUGGUGCUUGGAGGAGCUUGCUGAGAUUGUUAAACAACAUAACAACGACGGCCAUAAAGUGUUUCCAAUUUUUUACCAUGUUGGUCCAUCUGAUUUAAGAAAACAAAAAGAGAAAGUGGAAGAAGCCUUUGCCAGACAUAAAGAGAGAUACAAAGAAGAUAGUGAGAAGAUCCAAAGAUGGCGAAAUGCUUUAAUUCAAGUGGCUGGAAUCAAGGGAUGGCAUUUAAAUAAAAGGUAAUUCCUUCUUUUCUUCUUUAUUUUCUAGUUUUUUGCAUAUAUAUGUAUAUCUUUUUUUUCUUUCUAAUCCUAUGUGUUUAAUUGAAAAGUGUCAUAUUUCAAUAAAAGAGCAAACUUUGUAUUCUGGCUACGCAACAGAUCUUGCUUUCUUAUUCUUGGUUCUUGUUUGCUUCCAAACUAUAUUAUGUUUGAUGAUUCAUUGAAAAAGAAAGUUUAUUUGAAACAUAUCAACAAAGUUUUAUUCAAAACAUUAAAUUUUCCUCUCUUUUUUUUAGGCAUGAAUCAGAAUUUAUUAAAGACAUUGUCAAGAAGAUAUCAGCAAAACUAUGUCAGACAUAUCCAGCUACUCAUAGCGACUUGGUUGGAAUUAGUGAACGCUUGGAGGAUUUAUAUUUGAAAAUAAACAUUGGGGAAGAUGAUGUCCGCGUUAUAGGAAUUUGCGGAAUGGGUGGCAUCGGUAAAACGACACUCGCAAGAGUUGCUUACACUCAAAUGUCACCUCAUUUUGAAGGUAAAAGCUUUAUUUCUGAUAUUCGAGAAGUUUCAGACAAAUGCGGGCUAGUUUCUUUACAGAAACAACUUCUUUCACAGAUCUUUCAUGGUGAAUGCUUCAACUUUUUCGAUGUUCAUGAAGGGAGUGACAUAAUUAGCCAUAGGUUGUCUCACAAAAAGGUUCUUGUUGUUCUUGAUAAUGUUGAUAACAUACAACACUUAAAAUGCUUGGUAGGAAGGCACGAUUGGUUCGGAUUAGGAAGUAGAAUCGUUGUAACAACAAGAGAAGAACAUUUGCUUCGGUCUUGGCCAGUUGAUGAUAUGUAUGAGCCCACAACAUUGAAUCCCAAAGAUGCGCUUCAACUUUUCAGUCUGAAAGCUUUUCAUAGUGAUACAGUGCAGAAAGAUGAUUUCAUUGAGCUUUCUAAACAUGUUGUAAAUUAUGCUGGUGGACUCCCUUUAGCUCUUGAAGUUUUGGGUUCCUUUUUGUGCGGUAGAGAUGCGACUCAAUGGAGAAGUGCGAUUGAAAGACUUAAAAGAGAUUCUAAUAAAGAAAUUCUCGAUAAACUUCGAAUCAGUUUUGAUGGACUGGAAGAAAGGGAGAAGAAUAUAUUUUUAGAUAUAGCAUGCUUCUUCAACGGGGAGAAGAAAGAUUUUGUAAUUAAAGUAUUGGAUGGUUGCGAGUUUUUUCCUGAUAUCGGAAUUGAUGUUCUCAUUAAAAAAUCUCUCGUAAAAGUUAAUAAACACAACAAAUAUUUGAAUAUGCAUGAAUUGUUGCAAGAAAUGGGAAGAACAAUUGUUAAAGAAAAAUGUGUUGAUGAACCUGGAAAACGUUGCAGAUUGUGGGAGGAAAGG
rnacentral:lncRNA from 1 species